UACAGAGGUCUCAAGCGUUGUUCGGAUUUAUUGGGCGUAAAGGGUGCGUAGGCGGUUUGGCAAGUCUGAUGUGAAAUCUAUGGGCUCAACCCAUAGUCUGCAUCAGAAACUGCCGGGCUUGAGUAUGGGAGAGGUGAGUGGAAUUUCCGGUGUAGCGGUGAAAUGCGUAGAUAUCGGAAGGAACACCUGUGGCGAAAGCGGCUCACUGGACCAUUACUGACGCUGAUGUACGAAAGCUAGGGGAGCAAACAGG
rnacentral:rRNA from 1 species